GCAAGUUAGAUGCUGCUGCAUGAUCAUCCUUGCAUGUAACACGAAGUUGGUGCAUUUUGACAUCGUAAACAUUCUCGAAGAGAGAAAAGCAGUUAGCAGAAGUUUCAACAAG